rnacentral:rRNA from 1 species
UGGCGGCGCGCUUACACAUGCAAGUCGCACGAGAAAGGGAGCAAUCCCAAGUAAAGUGGCGUACGGGUGAGUAACACGUGGAUCAUCUACCUUCUGGUGGGGAAUACCCCCGGGAAACUGGGGACAAUUCCGCAUAAGUCCGUGAGGAGAAAGCAGCAAUGCGCCGGAAGAGGAGUCCGCGGCUGAUUAGCUUGUUGGCGGGGUAAAAGCCCACCAAGGCGAAGAUCGGUAGCCGGCCUGAGAGGGCACACGGCCACACUGGCACUGGAACACGGGCCAGACUCCUACGGGAGGCAGCAGUGGGGAAUCUUGCACAAUGGGGGAAACCCUGAUGCAGCGACGCCGCGUGAGCGAUGAAGCCCUUCGGGGUGUAAAGCUCUUUCGACGGGAACGAUAAUGACGGUACCCGAAGAAGAAGCUGCGGCUAACUACGUGCCAGCAGCCGCGGUAAUACGUAGGCAGCAAGCGUUGUUCGGAAUUACUGGGCGUAAAGAGUGUGUANGCGGUGCUCUAAGUUCGGUGUGAAAUCUCCCGGCUCAACUGGGAGGGUGCGCCGGAAACUGGAGUGCU